rnacentral:rRNA from 1 species
GAUGCAGCCAUGCCGCGUGUGUGAAGAAGGACCUUCGGGUUGUAAAGCACUUUCAGUAGGGAGGAAGGUAGUGUAGUUAACACCUGCAUUAUUUGACGUUACCUACAGAAGAAGCACCGGCUAACUCCGUGCCAGCAGCCGCGGUAAUACGGAGGGUGCGAGCGUUAAUCGGAAUUACUGGGACGUAAAGCGCAUGCAGGCGGCCGUGUUAAGUCAGAUGUGAAAGGACCCGGGGACCGUUAACCGUACCGGUAAAGUUGCUAUUUAGUAAACGUAGGCGAGGCUAGAGUCUUGUAGAGGGGGUAGGAAUUUCAGGUGUAGCGGUGAAAUGCGUAGAGAUCUGAAGGAAUACCAGUGGCGAAGGCGGCCCCCUGGACAAAGACUGACGCUCAGAUGCGAAAGCGUGGGGAGCAAACAGGAUUAGAUACCCUGGUAG